AGUGAACGCUGGCGGUAGGCCUAACACAUGCAAGUCGAACGGCAGCACAGUAAGAGCUUGCUCUUACGGGUGGCGAGUGGCGGACGGGUGAGGAAUACAUCGGAAUCUACUUUUUCGUGGGGGAUAACGUAGGGAAACUUACGCUAAUACCGCAUACGACCUACGGGUGAAAGCAGGGGAUCUUCGGACCUUGCGCGAUUGAAUGAGCCGAUGUCGGAUUAGCUAGUUGGCGGGGUAAAGGCCCACCAAGGCGACGAUCCGUAGCUGGUCUGAGAGGAUGAUCAGCCACACUGGAACUGAGACACGGUCCAGACUCCUACGGGAGGCAGCAGUGGGGAAUAUUGGACAAUGGGCGUAAGCCUGAUCCAGCCAUACCGCGUGGGUGAAGAAGGCCUUCGGGUUGUAAAGCCCUUUUGUUGGGAAAGAAAAGCAGCAGGUUAAUACCCCGCUGUUCUGACGGUACCCAAAGAAUAAGCACCGGCUCACUUCGUG
rnacentral:rRNA from 1 species